CCUGAGAAAACGGAGGUACUUGAGCUUGGCAAUGGUGGGCUGGAUUGGGCCGGUGAGGUUAGAGAGCUUGCGGAAGAUUAGUGUUUGCAGAUAAGGUAAGUCGCCUACUUCAGGAGGGAUCUGAGCGGAUAUCUGGUCGUAACUAAUGUGUAGGGAGGUGACACGGUGGUUGACGGUGGCGUCGCCGCAGUCAACGUUGAACCAGGUGCAGCAGUCUUCUUUGGGGUCCCAGGAGAUGAUGUUGUUGUAAGGGUUGCUAAGUGACUUCUUGAUCUUGAGGAGAGUGUUUUUGUCAUCUUUGUGACAGAGAUCUUUAGAUAAAGAGGUCGUGAGGAAGAGCGUGAAGAACAAGAAGAGGAGCAGGGUCGUUGCCUUACUCAUAAUGGUAGUGUGCUUGAGUAUGAGUUGUAGUGGAAACUUCUAAUGAUAUAUAGGCUAACGGCCUAACGUAAUCAAUUGGAAACUUAGUGGUAGGGUUUUACUAAUUAUAUUUGCUGACUAGACCACAUGCUAAACAAGUUAUGGACGGUGCGUGUGAACUCAUGGUUCAAAUUCUCCCCGGGCUAGAUAAAUUUGAGUUGAGAAAGUAAUUGGGCCUUCAGAAGUGAAGCCCAUAAUAAGAAUUAAUUGCGCGAGUCCGAAAAUUGAAAAACGAGGCCCGUGAGUUAGUUAUUACCGUUAUAAGUGAAAACAGAGAAUAAGUAUUCAUCCUUAUUCUUCCUCUAUUUGUGGUAACUUCUACCUUCAUUUUCACUUUAAAAAUGUUCUAAGAACUCAUAAAAAUACAAGUUGUGACACAUGUUUUAUUUAAUCAAUCUUGAUGAUAUUAUUUUUUUUUUUUUGGGAAAACUAGAGAUAAGCUUGGUUUAUUACUUGCAACUACUAUCAAGAGGUGCACCACAUAAACACUUGUUAUGAAAAUAUGUAUAAGAAUCAAAUCUCUGAAGACUUCCUCCAGUGGGGAUGGGUCCACACAGUCUGUUAUAGCUAACAUUUAAGAUUUGGAGAGAAUAUUCAGUCCACUGAACCGGAAUACUCCCUGUGAUCCCAUUGUGGUUCAAGUCCAGUACACCAAGUGACUCAUGGAGCACAACUCUGGACAGAUCAAACUGGAACAUGUUUCUUGAUAAGUCAAUGGAAAACGUCGUUUUGUUGGCUCCAAACAACAUCGAAGCAUCGCCUGUGAGCUUGUUCCUUGAGAAAUCUAUCCGGUUAAAAUCAAGGUUGCCUAGUGAUUUGGGUAUAGAACCGGAGAGCUGAUUGUGUGAAAAGAUAAGGUAAGGAACUUCUGCUGGAAACGAUCCAAAUGAUUCAGGUAUUGUACCUAAGUGAAAGUUAGAAAAAAAGCAUUUUAAUAAUCAUAUUUUAAGCGACGAAUAGUAGAAUCAAAGAGAUUUUGUGACCAAAAAAAAAAAGUAGAAUCAAAGAGAUUACUUAGUUUACCUGUAAGUUUAUUCCUACUAACAUCAAUGUACGAAAGUUUAGGUAACAAAGCGAGGGAGCUAGGUAUGGAACCAGAGAGCUGAUUGAAGGCAAGGCUUAAGUAUUCAAGAUUCAUGAGCUGACUAAGGAAAUCAGGAACCGGGCCGGUGAGGUUCAACCAGCUAAGCCUGAGAGAACGGAGAUGCUUAAGCUUGGUGAUGGUGGAUGGGAUCUGACCGGUGAUGUUAGUGAUCCUGUGGAACAUAAGAUUCUGAAGAUACGGUAAGUCACCCACUUCAGGCGGAAUCUGACCGGAUAUCUGACCGGCGAAUAUGGUUAGGGAGAUGACGCGGUGGUUAACGGUGGCGUCGCCGCAUUCGAGGCAGUACCAGGAGCAGCAGUCGGUUUCCGGGUGCCACGAGGCGAGGUGGUAAGGGUUGUUUAGGGACUUCUUGAUUUUAAGGAGGGUGUUUUUGUCGUUUUGGUUACAUAGAUCUUUCGAUGUCGCGAUGGUGAUGAGGUACGUGAUGAAAAACAAGAGCGAGAAAAGCAGUGUCGUGUUUGUCUUAUGAUCCAUGUUGUAUGGUGUUUGGUUUUGAAUAUUUUUUUUGUUGAAAGUGUGACGAUGAUAUAAACACUAUCGAGAUUAGAUAUUUGAUUUGAUAGAAACCUUAAUAGUCAGUCAAUACGUGUGAUUAAGAUGUCGGUGUUGAAUAUGGUUGGCUGGUGCCAACAUGCUGGCAGUCAACAUGUGCCACUUGAGUACUACUACUCUCUCAGCCACGGCUUCUAUUUUCUGAUUAAAAAAAAAAAAUUCAUAUGUAUAUAAAUGUUUGGGUUUAUAAUCUUACACGAAGCACUUUUAAGCUUCAAUAUAUGAAAUUUGCUUUUGAUACAAUUUUAAAACAGUUUCCACAAAUAGUUUUAUUUUCGAAAUGAGAAAAUUUAUAUAAUUUAAAACAGGAUUUGAAAAAUGAGAUGCACCAAAAAGAAAAUAGCAUCUAAAUGUAUUUCAUGAAACUAAAAUAUGACUAGAAAAGCAUCUGACAUGAAAUAACAUCUGGCGUGAGAGAAAAAGCAUGGAGCUGAUCCUUCUCCACCUAUCAAACUAGAAAAGCAUCUAUAGGACUAUCAGAAACAGAACAUAUGCAGAUGGGAUAGCAAUAUGGUUUGGCUCAAGGAUAAGCACCUAAAUCAUUCUUUACAUUCUUUUCUUCUUUAUUCUUUCUCUAUUUAGAAGUUAAAAACACCUUUCGGACACGGAAGCUCUAGAUGUUAAAUAAGGUUCUUAGUUUUUUUAGUUAAAAGUUAAGAAACGGUUUUUUAUAUUCCGCUAAGAACAAGAAACGGUUUUUUAUAUUCCGCUAAGAACCUCACCCUAAGAACUCUCCAUUAAUCAUGCUCUUAUAAGUGAAAAUAGAGGAUAAGUAUUCGUCCUUAUUCUUCCUCUAUUUGUGGUAAGCUCUACCUUCAUUUUCACUUUAAAAAUGUUCUAAGAACUCAUCAAAAUACAAGUUGUGAUACAUGUUUUAUUUAAUCAAUCUGGAUGAUAUUACAUUUUUUUUUUUGGGAAAACUAGAGAUAAGCUUGGUUUAUUACUUGCAACUAUCAAGAGGUGCACCACACAAACACUUGUUGUGAAAAUAUAUAUAAGAAUCAAAUCUCUGAAGACUGCCUCCAGUGGGGAUGGGUCCACACAGUCUGUUAUAGCUAACGUUUAAGAGUUGGAGAGAAUAUUCAGUCCACUGAACCGGAAUACUCCCUGUGAUCCCAUUGUGGUUCAAAUCCAGUACACCAAGUGACUGAGGGAGCACAACUCUGGACAGAUCAAACUGGAACAUGUUUCUUGAUAAGUCAAUGGAAAACGUCGUUUUGUUGGCUCCAAACAACAUCGAAGCAUCGCCUGUGAGCUUGUUCCUUGAGAAAUCUAUCCGGUUAAAAUCAAGGUUGCCUAGUGAUUUGGGUAUAGAACCGGAGAGCUGGUUGUGUGAUAAGAUAAGGUAAGGAACUUCUCCUGGAAACGAUCCAAAUGACUCUGGUAUUGUACCUAAGUGAAAGUUAAAACGUUGUGAAUAGAAAAAUAACAAUGUAAUAAACAGUUUAUUUUUUAUAAUCGUUUUUUUAUACAUAAAAGAGUUAUUCACCUGUAAGCUUAUUCCUACUAAGAUCAAUGUACGUAAGUUUAGGUAACAGGGAGAGAGAGCUAGGUACUGAACCAGAAAGCUCAUUGAACGAAAGGUUUAAGUAGUCAAGAUUCACGAGCUGACUAAGAAAAUCAGGAACCGGGCCGGUGAGGUUCGUCCAGCUAAGCCAUAGAAACGUGAGAUACUUGAGCUUGGUGAUGCUGUGUGGGAUCUGACCGGUGAGGUUAGUGAGUUUGCGGAAGACAAGCUUCUGAAGAUACGGUAAGUCACCGACUUCAGGCGGGAUCUGACCGGAUAUCUGACCGGCGAAUAUGGUUAGGGAGAUGACGCGGUGGUUAACGGUGGCGUCGCCGCAUUCGAGGCAGUACCAGGAGCAGCAGUCGGUUUCGGGGUGCCACGAGGCGAGGUGGUAAGGGUUGUUUAGGGACUUCUUGAUCUUGAGGAGGGUCUUUUUGUCGUUUUGGUUACAUUGAUCUUUUGAUGACGCGUUCGCGAGGUGUGUGAUGAAAAACAAGAGCGAGAAAAGCAGUGUCGAAUGUAUUUUAUUAUCCAUGUUGUAUG
rnacentral:lncRNA from 1 species